rnacentral:rRNA from 1 species
UACGAAGGGGGCUAGCGUUGCUCGGAAUCACUGGGCGUAAAACGCACGUAGGCGGCUUGUUAAGUCAGGGGUGAAAUCCUGGAGCUCAACUCCAGAACUGCCUUUGAUACUGGCGAGCUUGAGUUCGGGAGAGGUGAGUGGAACUGCGAGUGUAGAGGUGAAAUUCGUAGAUAUUGGGAAGAACACCGGUGGCGAAGGCGGCUCUCUGGACCGACACUGACGCUGAGGCGCGAAAGCGUGGGGAGCAAACAGG